CAAUAGCGUAUAUUAAAGUUGUUGCGGUUAAAAAGCUCGUAGUUGGAUUUCUGCUGAGAACGACCGGUCCGCCCUUUGGGUGUGUAUCUGGCUCUUUCUUGGCAUCUUCUUGGUGAACGUUGCUGCACUUGACUGUGUGGAGCGCUACCCAGGACUUUUACUUUGAGGAAAUUAGAGUGUUUCAAGCAGGCAUACGCCUUGAAUACAUUAGCAUGGAAUAAUAAGAUAGGACCUCGGUUCUAUUUUGUUGGUUUCUAGAGCUGAGGUAAUGAUUAAUAGGGAUAGUUGGGGGCAUUCGUAUUUAACUGUCAGAGGUGAAAUUCUUGGAUUUGUUAAAGACGGUCUACUGCGAAAGCAUUUGCCAAGGAUGUUUUCAUUGA
rnacentral:rRNA from 1 species